UCUGUUGGGUAGGGGAGCGUUGUGUAAGCGGAAGAAGGUGGCUCGAGAGGGUUGCUGGACGUAUCACAAGUGCGAAUGCUGACAUAAGUAACGAUAAAACGAGUGAAAAACUCGUUCGCCGGAAGACCAAGGGUUCCUGUCCAACGUUAAUCGGGGCAGGGUGAGUCGGCCCCUAAGGCGAGGCUGAAAAGCGUAGUCGAUGGGAAACGGGUUAAUAUUCCCGUACUUGGUAAAGCUGCGAUGUGGGGACGGAGAAGGUUAGGUAAGCGGACUGUUGGAAAUGUCCGUUUAAGUUGGUAGUUGGGAGCGGUAGGCAAAUCCGCUGCUCCAUUCAACAACGAGAGAUGAUGACGAGUUCCUAAGGGAAUGAAGUUACCGAUACCCGGCUUCCAGGAAAAGCCACUAAGCGAAAGGCUUUAUUAAACCGUACUGAAAACCGACACAGGUGGUCAGGUAGAGAAUACUCAGGCGCUUGAGAGAACUCGGGUGAAGGAACUAGGCAAAAUAGCACCGUAACUUCGGGAGAAGGUGCGCUUACAGUAAUUGUAGUCCCUCGCGGAUGAAGGUGAAGUAAGUCGAAGAUACCAGCUGGCUGCAACUGUUUAUUAAAAACACAGCACUCUGCAAACACGAAAGUGGACGUAUAGGGUGUGAUGCCUGCCCGGUGCUGGAAGGUUAAUUGAUGGUGUUAUCGAAAGAGAAGCUCCUGAUCGAAGCCCCAGUAAACGGCGGCCGUAACUAUAACGGUCCUAAGGUAGCGAAAUUCCUUGUCGGGUAAGUUCCGACCUGCACGAAUGGCAUAAUGAUGGCCAGGCUGUCUCCACCCGAGACUCAGUGAAAUUGAAAUCGCCGUGAAGAUGCGGUGUACCCGCGGCUAGACGGAAAGACCCCGUGAACCUUUACUAUAGCUUGACACUGAACAUUGAAUUUUGAUGUGUAGGAUAGGUGGGAGCCUUUGAAGCAGUGACGCCAGUCAUUGUGGAGGCGACCUUGAAAUACCACCCUUUAACGUUUGAUGUUCUAACGAAGUGCCUGAAACGGGUACUCGGACAGUGUCUGGUGGGUAGUUUGACUGGGGCGGUCUCCUCCCAAAGCGUAACGGAGGAGCACGAAGGUUUGCUAAUGACGGUCGGACAUCGUCAGGUUAGUGCAAUGGUAUAAGCAAGCUUAACUGCGAGACGGACAAGUCGAGCAGGUGCGAAAGCAGGUCAUAGUGAUCCGGUGGUUCUGAAUGGAAGGGCCAUCGCUCAACGGAUAAAAGGUACUCCGGGGAUAACAGGCUGAUACCGCCCAAGAGUUCAUAUCGACGGCGGUGUUUGGCACCUCGAUGUCGGCUCAUCACAUCCUGGGGCUGAAGUAGGUCCCAAGGGUAUGGCUGUUCGCCAUUUAAAGUGGUACGCGAGCUGGGUUUAGAACGUCGUGAGACAGUUCGGUCCCUAUCUGCCGUGGGCGUUGGAUGAUUGAUUGGGGCUGCUCCUAGUACGAGAGGACCGGAGUGGACGCAUCACUGGUGUUCCAGUUGUCUCGCCAGAGGCAUUGCUGGGUAGCUAAAUGCGGAAGAGAUAAGUGCUGAAAGCAUCUAAGCACGAAACUUGCCAAGAGAUGAGUCAUCCCUGACUUUAAGUCAGUAAGGGUUGUUUAAGACUAAGACGUAGAUAGGUUGGGUGUGUAAGUGUAGUGAUACAUUGAGCUAACCAAUACUAAUUGCCCGAGAGGCUUAACCAUACAACACUCAAG
rnacentral:rRNA from 1 species